AAAAUUAAAUUAGAAGACAAUAGAAAAAUUGUUCAAAGAAGACCAUACAGGCUUAGUCCAAAUGAAAGAGAAUUGGUACGCGACAAGAUUAAAGAGCUUUUGGAAUGCAAUGUCAUAAGGCCAAGCUGCUCUCCCUUUGCAAGUCCUAUGAUUUUCAGAUAGAUAUCCUUUACCCCUUAUAGCAGAUCAGAUAGCCAGACUUCAUGGUGCUAAAUAUUUCACUUGUUUGGAUUUGGCAAGCGGAUAUUACCAAAUCCCAUUGCAUGAAGAAUCAAUAGAGUGUACGGCUUUUGUCACCCCAGAUGGCCACGUACAGUGAUGCAUACACUUGGAGAACUGGCAAAUACUUUUGUGGUUGUCUAUAUGAAUGACGUGUUAGUGGUGGCUGCAACGAAAAGUGAGGCUUUGGAAAGACUUGAUGUU